rnacentral:lncRNA from 1 species
CCUCGUCUUUCAAUAAAAAGUCAUUUUUUUCCAUUCUUGGACCGUAGUCUUGGAUAUAUCAUAUCGUGUAGUUCCAGGAAGAUUUCCAGGUUGAAGGGGGCCGUUGAACUGAUGGUAAAACUGGCAGUGAUAUGAGAUGUAUGGUGGAUUCGUUGAAGAGGUAUGAAACUCGGUCUGAAGCAAAUAUAUGAUCAAUCUUGGAUAUAUCUUAUCGUGUAGUUCCAGGAAGAUUUCCAGGUUGAAGGGGGCCGUUUAACUGAUGGUAAAACUGGCAGUGAUAUGAGAUGUACGGUGGAUUUGUUUAAGAGGCCGAACGCAGAUUGAAGGGGGCUGUUUAACUGAUGGUAAAACUGGGCAGUGAUAUUUAAUGUACAGUGGAUUCGUUUAAGAGGCCCCGUCUUUCAAUAAAAGGUCAUUUUUUAAGGGAGGUCAUUGCAUGUGAGACCUGAAUCUUCCCUCCAAAAAUAAUUAUUAUUUUCCGUCCAAUGGGCCAACGCUUCUGAUCAUUUUUGAGUACCAAUUUUUAGUAUCACGGUUGUGGGCGUUUACUACGUUCAAUGUACGACCUAUUAGACUUUGAAUGAGAAAGACAUUAGUCUAUGGGACAAUAUGGAUGAUCUUGUUUUAUCCUACACUAUUGAAUGGACCAGCGUUAUAAUGUCUGGUAAAAUUAAUGCAUUGAUGUAAUACAAUAGACUGGAGGCCCUACUAGAAGAGGAAAUUGAGCUACAUUACAAGAUGCAAGACUUGCCAUAAUGAUAGUGGAGGUUUUAAUUUUGCGAAAAUCCGGAAAAGAGGCCGUAGUCUUGGAUAUAUCCUUAUGGUGUAGUUCCAGGAAGAUUUCCAGGUUGAAGGGGGCUGUUGAAAUGAUUGGAAAACUGGGCAGUGAUAUGAGAUAUAUGGUGGAUUCGUUGAAGAGGUAUGAAACUCGGUCUGAA